AAUAUGGGGAAUGUUUGACUUCUCUCUUCCAUGUGUUUUACAGACCAGCUUUUGAUUAUGCUGAUGCCUACUCAGGUGCCAAUGCUGAGCCAGGUGCUACUGGCUGAAGAAAUAAAGGAAAAAGGGCCAUGCCCAGGCAAACACAAGCUAUGAGAAUGCGAUGUUGCAUUAAAAUGACAUCAGUCUAAUGGCACUGGCCAAUACGCAAUAAUUAGCUGGUGGGCAGCAGGAGGUCAUCAUUCAGCUCUGCUUCACAGAGCUGUGUGUGCCUCUGAACUGGGGCUUUGGCCUUGGACGCCUUCCCAGAAGAGCUCUAGUGGGACAGAAGCCCCUUGAUUUAAGGCUGGCAGGGGUACCUAGGUGCCUGGACCCUAUAUUAAUUUAGCUGAUAUAGUGCAAGUAUCUGCAUGACUGAGUUUGUGGGCUUCAUCAACAUGAGCAAUGAUCACUGAUACUUGUAAAUUAAGGCAAUCCACAUGAUUGCAUUGCAAGGUAAUUUGAAAAAAAAAAAAUUAUAUAUAUAUAUAUAUAUAUUUGCUCUUACAGGGUUAGGAUCUUAGUCCCUAUCUUUGUGAGUUUUUAGAAGAUACUUUGUGAGAUUCAAUAAGCUUCUUAAGUAAUAUGUUAUCCUUCACAGACCCAAUCAUUGACACUUUUGUAACAAGCUUGAAUUGACUCCAUUACAGAUUUUUCAACAAAAUCACUGUAGUAUAGUUUAAAAGAAGAACAGGGCUUUUUACAGGGCUUGGAGUUUUUGUGUUUUAAAUAGAGAGUAGUUUUAAUACCUAUCAAUUGCAAGAACAACAUCCAUUUGAAACAGCAUGGAAUACAUGGAAUAGAUAUUUUAAAACAGACACAAUUUGCGUGAGCCCCAAACCUGAGAUUCCAAAUACAAUCUAAGUCAAACACCUUAGCAAAAUGUUGUUCUUGCUCCAUCUGAACCUGGAGGUAAUCAAAAGAUUGAAGACUGUCCCCCAGGAAGGUAAAAUCUCUGCUCCUAUUCAAACUAUUCAAGAAACAGGGGAACUGGUAGACCUGCUGUUCCUCCUUUGCAACAAAGAAUGGGACUUCUGUUACGUUGAAACAUUUGGAAAUUAGAUUAAAAGAUUUUGCAGAUGAUCCAGUCAUUAGCAAUGCAGGAAUUUUUAAU